rnacentral:rRNA from 1 species
CAUCCUGAGGAAGCAUCAUUACCACUCAUAAAAAUCUUUACACGAGCACUGUCACAACACUAUAGUGGGUGGUCUUAUGUGGCGGCGGCUGGUGGCAUAAUUGGUGGCGGCUGCUGAUGAGUGAGCCCUUAUCAAAAAAAAGCGCAAACGUUGGGGUUUCCCCGAGAUUAUGUAGUCUUUUUUCUUUUAAACCCAUUCCUUAAUACUGAAUAUACUGUGGGGACGAAAGUCUCUGCUUUUAACUAGAUAGCAACUUUCAGCAGUGGAUGUCUAGGCUCGCACAUCGAUGAAGAACGCUGCGAACUGCGAUACGUAAUGCGAAUUGCAGGAUUCAGUGAGUCAUCGAAAUUUUGAACGCAUAUUGCACUUCCGGGUUAGUCCUGGAAGUAUGCCUGUAUCAGUGUCCGUACAUUAAACUUGACUUUCUUCCUUCCGUGUAGUCGGUGGAGGAGAUGUCAGAUGUGAAGUGUCUUGCGAUUGGUCUUCGGACCGGCUGCGAGUCCUUUUAAAUGUACUAAACUGAACUUCUCUUUGCUCGAAAAGUGGUGGCGUUGCUGGUUGUGAAGGCUGCUAUUGUGGCAAAUUGGCGACUGGUUUGUCUGCUGCGGCAUUAAUGGAAGAGUGUUCGAUUCGUGGUAUGGUUGGCUUCGGCUGAACAAUGCACUUAUUGGACGUUUUUCCUGCUGUGGCGUGAUGGACUGGUGAACCAUAGCUCGGUGGCUUGGCUUUUGAAUUGGCUUUGCUGUUGCGAAGUAGGGUGGCAGCUUCGGUUGUCGAGGGUCGAUCCAUUUGGGAACUUAAUGUGUACUUCGGUAUGCAUCUCAAUUGGACCUGAUAUCAGGCAAGAUA